GUGCUGAAAAGGUUCACCAACACUGCCCUCUACUAUUUCAGACAAAUGUUUCUCCAAUCUGGAGAACCCACAAUUUCUGAAGGCAAUAACACUCUACUGGGAUUCAGUUUCAACUAUGAUGUGGCAGAAUGGCAUCAUGGAGAUUAGAAAGUGGAAUUUGCCUCUGUCAGAGAAUUUGACCUCAAAUAUACAAUUUACAUUGUAAAGAUUUUGCGAGACGUUCAUGAUGACACAUGAAUAUAUAUUUGUUAUCCAGAUAAUAAAACGUUUUUUUAAUCUCAAUGCAAAACAUCAGCAAACAGGCAAGACAAGAGAAUUAAAAGGGAGUCCCAUAGUCAAGACAGCAGGCUAAUUAUUAGUGAUUUUCAAUUUAAGGAAAGUGCAAUCAAAGACGUUAUUCCUGUAGCAACAGUCAACUUUUCAAAUUACGGUGUUAUAAAUUAUGAAUCCCUCUACAAUGUUAUACCUAUGUACAAUGUUUCCUGCUCGUAAGGCAGGAUAAACCAGUAAUAAAUUUCCUUCACUUA